rnacentral:rRNA from 1 species
ACGCUCGACACCUACGGGAGCAGCAGUGGGGAAUAUUGCACAAUGGGGGAAACCCUGAUGCAGCGACGCCGCGUGAAGGAAGAAGUAUUUCGGUAUGUAAACUUCUAUCAGCAGGGAAGAAAAUGACGGUACCUGAGUAAGAAGCACCGGCUAAAUACGUGGCAGCAGCCGCGGUAAUCUGAGCGGGCUGGCAAGGC